rnacentral:rRNA from 1 species
AGAGUUUGAUCCUGGCUCAGGAUGAACGCUGGCGGCGUGCUUAACACAUGCAAGUCGAACGAUUGAAGCUGGAGCUUGCUCCGGCCGAUUUAGUGGCGGACGGGUGAGUAACGCGUGGGUAACCUGCCUCAUACAGGGGGAUAGCAGUUGGAAACGACUGGUAAAACCGCAUAAGCGCACGGUGUUGCAUGACACAGUGUGAAAACACUCCGGUGGUAUGAGAUGGACCCGCGUCUGAUUAGCUAGUUGGUGAGGUAACGGCCCACCAAGCCGACGAUGUCUAGGGGUUCUGAGAGGAAGGUCCCCCACACUGGAACUGAGACACGGUCCAGACUCCUACGGGAGGCAGCAGUGAGGAAUAUUGGUCAAUGGGCGAGAGCCUGAACCAGCCAAGUCGCGUGAGGGAAGAAUGGUCUAUGGCCUGUAAACCUCUUUUGUCAAGGAAGAAUAAGCGGCACGAGUGCCACCUUGCCAGUACUUGACGAAUAAGCAUCGGCUAACUCCGUGCCAGCAGCCGCGGUAAUACGGGGGAUGCGAGCGUUAUCCGGAUUUAUUGGGUUUAAAGGGCGCGUAGGCGGGACGACAAGUCAGCGGUAAAAGACUGCAGCUAAACUGUAGCACGCCGUUGAAACUGUCGACCUGGAGACGAGACGAGGGAGGCGGAACAAGUGAAGUAGCGGUGAAAUGCAUAGAUAUCACUUGGAACCCCGAUAGCGAAGGCAGCUUCCCAGGCUCGAUCUGACGCUGAUGCGCGAGAGCGUGGGUAGCGAACAGGAUUAGAUACCCUGGUAGUCCACGCCGUAAACGAUGCUCACUGGAUCUUGGCGAUACACGGCCAGGGUUCAAGCGAAAGUAUUAAGUGAGCCACCUGGGGAGUACGUCGGCAACGAUGAAACUCAAAGGAAUUGACGGGGGCCCGCACAAGCGGAGGAACAUGUGGUUUAAUUCGAUGAUACGCGAGGAACCUUACCCGGGUUUAAAUGCAGGUUGCAUGAGGUGGAAACACCUCUUUCCCUCGGGACUACCUGCAAGGUGCUGCAUGGUUGUCGUCAGCUCGUGCCGUGAGGUGUCGGGUUAAGUCCCAUAACGAGCGCAACCCCUAUCGCCAGUUGCCAUCGGUUUCGGCCGGGCACUCUGUCGAGACUGCCACCGUAAGGUGCGAGGAAGGCGGGGAUGACGUCAAAUCAGCACGGCCCUUACACCCGGGGCGACACACGUGUUACAAUGGCCGGUACAGAGGGCAGCCACGGGGCGACCCGGAGCGAAUCUCUAAAGCCGGUCGUAGUUCGGACUGGAGUCUGCAACCCGACUCCACGAAGUUGGAUUCGCUAGUAAUCGCGCAUCAGCCAUGGCGCGGUGAAUACGUUCCCGGGCCUUGUGCACACCGCCCGUCAAGCCAUGGAAGCCGGGAGUACCUGAAGAUCGUGACCGCGAGGAACGGGCUAGGGUAAUACCGGUAACUGGGGCUAAGUCGUAACAAGGUA